rnacentral:tRNA from 4 species
GGAGAGUUAGCUCAGCUGGGAGAGCAUCGCCCUUACAAGGCGGAGGUCAUGGGUUCGAACCCCUUACUCUCCACCA